ensembl:lncRNA
GGAGGAGCUCAGCCUGUUUCCCCACUUGUCUGUGACAGCACGUGCAGUCCAGGAACAGGAAGGAACAAGUGGCAGGAUAGCAACAGGGACUUGUGAGUUAUGUAAAAAGAACUGCAUUCUCCUGGGAUGGUACUUGGUGUGAUGCUGCAGGUAGUGUUGAAGAAAUCUUCAUUCAAAGUAUUUGGAGCAAUAAAUUUGAGUUUGGGUUGCAGCGGCUCCUUCAUCCAGCCCAAGGUGGAACCAAACCGGGGCAGUCCUCAGAUGGAGGUCUCUAAAGUCAGUGGGUUUCAGUUAUCAGAAGCCUCCCCAGUGCCAUUUGCAAUUUUGCCAAGACUGCACAGGUAUAAGUGAUGGUUGCAUCUGAUCCCUGUGUUCUGACUGCUUUGCUUUGGAGCAGACUGUUUCGCUAGUGCAGAAUGAACGUUUCCUACGGGGGUCAGAACUGGAUGAUCUUUAAGGUCUCUUCCAACCCAAGCCAUUCUAUGAUUCCAUGAGUAUGUUUUUUUGUCUGUAUGCAUAAAGUAUACAUACAUGUAUAAGUGUGUGUGUGUGUGUGUAUAUAUAUGAGAAUGUGUAAUUACACUUCACUGCAGCCACUCAUUUGAGUUAAUGUAGAUCUGCCUGUAAGCUCCCACAUCUAUUUUAUUUAAAGACAAAGUGAUCAGUAGGAACUCCCAAAUCACAAUGAUGGAAAUGUGGUCUGUCUGAUGUCCGAGCAG